GACGAACGCUGGCGGCGUGCUUAACACAUGCAAGUCGAACGGAAAGGCCCUGCUUUCAGGGUACUCGCGUGGCGAACGGGUGAGUAACACGUGGGUGGUCUGCCCUCCACUUCGGGAUAAGCCUGGGCAACUGGGUCUAAUACCGGAUAGGAGCCAUUUUGAGUGUGAUGGUUGGAAAGUUUUUUAGGGGUAGGAUGAGUUGGGGGGCUAUCAGCGUGUUGGUGGGGUUAUGGCCUACCAUGGCGGCGUCGGGGAGCCGGCCUGCGUGGGUGGACGGCCACAUUGGGACCGAGGUACGGCCCAGGCACCUACGGGAGGCAGCAGGGGGGAAGAUUGCACAAUCGGCGCAAGCCUGAUGCAGCGACGCCGCGGGGGGGAGGACGGCCUUCGGGUUGUAAAAGCAUUUCGCUAGGGACGAAGCGUUUUGUGACGGUACCUAGAUAAGAAGCACCGGCUAACUACGUG
rnacentral:rRNA from 1 species